rnacentral:lncRNA from 1 species
CAGGGGUUAAAAGGACGUUCCAGAAGCAUCUGGGGACAGAACCAGCCUCUUCCAGGGAGGCCUGGGAGCUGGGGGUGUGUGUCUGGCAGUCCCUGCAGCCCUGGGCUCUGCAGCCCCUGCGUCCUCCGCUUGGCUCUGCCACUGCAUCUGAGUGUCUUCUCUCCUCACGGCUCCCCGCAUUUCUAACUCUUUCUGCCUCCUCGUCUCAAAGCUGUUCCUUCCCCCGACUCAAGAAUCCCCGGAGGCCCGGAGGCCUGCAGCAGGAGCGGCCAUGAAGAAGCUGAUGGUGGUGCUGAGUCUGAUUG